UCCGCAGGCGGGCAAUUAAGUCAGGGGUGAAAUGGUGCGGCUCAACCGUAGCACUGCCCUUGAUACUGGUUGUCUUGAGUCAUAGUGAAGUGGCCGGAAUAUGUAGUGUAGCGGUGAAAUGCAUAGAUAUUACAUAGAACACCGAUUGCGAAGGCAGGUCACUAACUAUGUACUGACGCUGAUGGACGAAAGCGUGGGGAGCGAACAGGAUUAGAUACCCUGGUAGUCC
rnacentral:rRNA from 1 species